UACGUAGGGUGCAAGCGUUGUUCGGAAUUACUGGGCGUAAAGGGCUCGUAGGCGGCCAACUAAGUCGGAUGUGAAAUCCCCAGGCUCAACUUGGGAACUGCAUCCGAUACUGGAUGGCUUGAAUUCGGGAGAGGGAUGCAGAAUUCCAGGUGUAGCGGUGAAAUGCGUAGAUAUCAGGAGGAACACCGAUGGCGAAGGCAGGUCUCUGGGCCGAUACUGACGCUGAGGAGCGAAAGCGUGGGGAGCGAACAGG
rnacentral:rRNA from 1 species